GCUACCAGUAAGUACAGCUGGUUCUCAGGCUUCCCCAGCCCAUGGUGCCACCAGCCUGCCACUCUCUGGGGAAUUUUCACAUAACGCAGUUGACAAUCAUUCGCCUUGGAGAACAGAGCACAGCUCCCAGGGAGACCAAGGUGUCAAGCGUUUUCGAUCCUCCUGGCCCUACUGCGUCAAGACACCAGGGAUAGGCCCAUGCGAGUGAAUUGUGCCUCUUCCUCAGAAGGAAGGCUCCUUUGAGGCGGUUUCAACUAACAGAGCUGGCUGGCCUGGUCCCUUUCCUGGCUUACAACCAAGGCAAGCAGGGCAAGUUGCAACAUGUAGGCCCAGAAGCAAAGCACCCAGACUGGGCUCACAGUCCCCACGGACCAGACUGUGGGCUCGUGGGAGAGAAGCUUCUAUGUCCGUGUCUUCGGUGCCUGGCACAGAGGAGGA